rnacentral:rRNA from 1 species
UACAGAGGGGGCAAGCGUUGUUCGGAAUUACUGGGCGUAAAGGGCGCGUAGGCGGCCUUCUAAGUCGAACGUGAAAUCCCCGGGCUCAACCCGGGAACUGCGUCCGAUACUGGAAGGCUUGAAUCCGGGAGAGGGAUGCGGAAUUCCGCGUGUAGCAGUGAAAUGCGUAGAUAUGCGGAGGAACACCGAUGGCGAAGGCAAUCCCCUGGACCUGUACUGACGCUCAUGCACGAAAGCGUGGGGAGCAAACAGG